rnacentral:tRNA from 1 species
UCCUCGGUAGCUCAAUUGGCAGAGCACUUGGCUGUUAACCAGGGGGUUCUUGGUUCGAGUCCAAGCCGGGGAGCCA